rnacentral:rRNA from 1 species
UACGUAGGGGGCGAGCGUUGUCCGGAAUUAUUGGGCGUAAAGCGCGCGCAGGCGGCUUGGUAAGUCGGAUGUGAAAACCCGAGGCUCAACCUCGGGCGUGCAUCCGAAACUGCUCGGCUAGAGGUAGGUAGGGGAGAUCGGAAUUCCUGGUGUAGCGGUGAAAUGCGCAGAUAUCAGGAGGAACACCGAUGGCGAAGGCAGCCCCCUGGGUCGACACUGACGCUCAGGCACGAAAGCGUGGGGAGCAAACAGG